GUAGGGUGAAGCGUUGUCCGGAAUUACUGGGCGUAAAGAGUUCGUAGGCGGUUUGUCGCGUCGUUUGUGAAAACCAGCAGCUAAACUGCUGGCUUGAGGCGAUACGGGCAGACUUGAGUACUGCAGGGGAGACUGGAACUCCUGGUGUAGCGGCGAAAUGCGCAGAUAUCAGGAGGAACACCGGUGGCGAAGGCGGGUCUCUGGGCAGUAACUGACGCUGAGGAACGAAAGCGUGGGUAGCGAACAGGAUUAGAUACCCUGGUAGUCCACGCCGUAAACGGUGGACGCUAGGUGUGGGUUCCUUCCACGGAAUCCGUGCCGUAGCUAACGCAUUAAGCGCCCCGCCUGGGGAGU
rnacentral:rRNA from 1 species